CCAUUUUAACUUGUUUUGUAUACUUAGGCAUCUAGGAUCAUAUUGCAUUCGCAUUGCAUAUUUUGGUGUGUUUUCAGGUGCAAAAAGAGCUUAAAAGGACUCUACUCGAUUCAUCCACUCGAUCCAAGCAGCUACAGAAGAGGCAUCAUUCUACUCGACCUCUUUACUCGAUCCAGGAUACUAAAAAGGAGGCUGCAGUUUACUCGACCCUCGUACUCGAUCAAGGCAACCUCAGAUGAAGCAGCAGAUUCAUCUACUCGCCCCUCCACCUCGAUCCAUUCACUCGACCAAGGGUGACCAUCUCUACAAGACUUGUUGAGCUAUCAAAGCGUCUUCGGAUCCUCCUCAUUCCCCACUCAACCAUACAUGUGAGCAUACGGAUAGGAGAGGAUGAAGCAUCUACUCGACCAAUUGAUCACUCGGAGAAUAGACACAAAGGCGCAGACUUUGCAGCACCCUCUUUACUCGAUCCCCAAGGUCGAGUAUUCGCCCAAACCGUCUUAAGUCUCUUGUCUUCUAGUGAAUCUAGGGUUUCAACAUUUUAGUAUAAAUAGAUCACUUUGGGAUUUAUCCAAGGGAUCUAUGCUUUAUCUUUCAGUUUUUCUUUGUGUUUAUGAAUCUUGAAACCUUAAUUACUCUUAAUCUAUUUCCUUUUUGCAUUUGAUUGUUUAAGUAAAAUUGUUUAGGUUGUUUAGAUUUACAUUUUGGUAUGAUUUUAGUAAUUUCUGGGUUUGUGUUCUUGAGAAUGUUGCUUGAGUAGUGAUUAGGGUUCUUGAGGAUGGAUUAGAUUAGGGUAAUCUCUAGGUUAGUUAGGUAGUUAGUGUUUAGGUUUACACCCUUCUGGAUUCGCUUGGCCCCUAUGCGGUUUUCGCUGGCUAAUAUGGAGAUUCGAUCAUAGACUUCCAGCGUCCAAAAGACGUUCAAAUGGAUGUCUGACCUACGAAUUCCAGAGAUUUGUAGACUCGACCAAGGGAUUGGCUUGUCUGCCUAUUGGCUUUGGUAGAUUGUUUCUUAAACCCUACUUUGCUAUGUUUCAUCAACGAGAGUUGAGAUUAGGAAGUGGUAGAGUUAUGGGGGUCUCUGUCACGAGAGUGGAUUGACCCGGUUUUUGAUACUAUCGUCAUGGGUAUCUACCUUUCGCCUAUU
rnacentral:sRNA from 1 species